GCCAUGGCUGGAGAAAAGAAUGAACACAAAGUAAACCACAGCAAAACAGAUCUUUUAGAGCAUUAUAUAAGGGCAACAACUCAAAGUCUUUGAGGUGAUGGCAGGCUGGGCAUCAGUUUGCAAAUAGGAGAUGGCACUCAUCUUCAUCACCAAACCUAACCUGACAGAUGGGCUGAAAGCCCAGAGGCUGAUCCAGGCAAGACCAAACAUCUGGAAUCUUUUGUCAGGUAGCUUCUCCUCUCACACUUUAGGGUAAAUUUGUUCAAUAUCCUUUAGCAUCUGAUUAAAGAGAAAAAAAACAAAAAAAAACAAGAUAAAAACCCUGAAGAGACUUUACAAUACCUGACUUCUUAAACUGAGCUUUGAAAUGUGAAUAAAUCUUCACCUCUGAAAUCA